rnacentral:rRNA from 1 species
UACGUAGGGUCCGAGCGUUGUCCGGAAUUAUUGGGCGUAAAGGGCUCGUAGGCGGUUCGUCACGUCGGGAGUGAAAACUCGGGGCUUAACCCCGAGCCUGCUUCCGAUACGGGCAGACUAGAGGUAGGCAGGGGAGAGCGGAACUCCUGGUGUAGCGGUGGAAUGCGCAGAUAUCAGGAAGAACACCGGUGGCGAAGGCGGCUCUCUGGGCCUUACCUGACGCUGAGGAGCGAAAGCGUGGGUAGCGAGCAGG